CAAGCGUUAAUCGGAAUUACUGGGCGUAAAGCGCACGCAGGCGGUUUGUUAAGUCAGAUGUGAAAUCCCCGCGCUUAACGUGGGAACUGCAUUUGAAACUGGCAAGCUAGAGUCUUGUAGAGGGGGGUAGAAUUCCAGGUGUAGCGGUGAAAUGCGUAGAGAUCUGGAGGAAUACCGGUGGCGAAGGCGGCCCCCUGGACAAAGACUGACGCUCAGGUGCGAAAGCGUGGGGAGCAAGCAGGAUUAGAUACCCUGGUAGUCCACGCUGUAAACGAUGUCGACUUGGAGGUUGUGCCCUUGAGGCGUGGCUUCCGGAGCUAACGCGUUAAGUCGACCGCCUGGGGAGUACGGCCGCAAGGUUAAAACUCAAAUGAAUUGACGGGGCCCGCACAAGCGGUGGAGCAUGUGGUUUAAUUCGAUGCAACGCGAAGAACCUUACCUACUCUUGACAUCCACGGAAUUCGCCAGAGAUGGCUUAGUGCCUUCGGGAACCGUGAGAUAGGUGCUGCAUGGCUGUCGUCAGCUCGUGUUGUGAAAUGUUGGGUUAAGUCCCGCAACGAGCGCAACCCUUAUCCUUUGUUGCCAGCACGUAGUGGUGGGAACUCAAAGGAGACUGCCGGUGAUAAACCGGAGGAAGGUGGGGAUGACGUCAAGUCAUCAUGGCCCUUACGAGUAGGGCUACACACGUGCUACAAUGGCAUAUACAAAGAGAAGCGAACUCGCGAGAGCAAGCGGACCUCAUAAAGUAUGUCGUAGUCCGGAUUGGAGUCUGCAACUCGACUCCAUGAAGUCGGAAUCGCUAGUAAUCGUAGAUCAGAAUGCUACGGUGAAUACGUUCCCGGGCCUUGUACACACCGCCCGUCACACCAUGGGAGUGGGUUGCAAAAGAAGUAGGUAGCUUAACCUUCGGGAGGGCGCUUACCACUUUGUGAUUCAUGACUGGGGUGAAGUCGUAA
rnacentral:rRNA from 1 species